rnacentral:lncRNA from 1 species
GGUACUCUUGAAGAAUAUGCCAUAGUGAUGCCAUUCAAGUUGCCAUGAAGGAAGCGGUGCGUAGCGGAGAUUGUGCUGGUAGGGGCAGAGGCCCAAGAUCCAGACGAUGGUGCACAAAUUACAGUGAAGUCGGUGGACUUUGGGAGCUACUAGGCGACGGACUGUCCUAGAGCGAUGCUUCAUCUAGGUGUGGCCCAAGAGUGGG